rnacentral:rRNA from 1 species
AGUGAACGCUGGCGGUAGGCCUAACACAUGCAAGUCGAACGGCAGCACAGUAAGAGCUUGCUCUUACGGGUGGCGAGUGGUGGACGGGUGAGGAAUACAUCGGAAUCUACUUUUUCGUGGGGGAUAACGUAGGGAAACUUACGCUAAUACCGCAUACGACCUACGGGUGAAAGCAGGGGAUCUUCGGACCUUGCGCGAUUGAAUGAGCCGAUGUCGGAUUAGCUAGUUGGCGGGGUAAAGGCCCACCAAGGCGACGAUCCGUAGCUGGUCUGAGAGGAUGAUCAGCCACACUGGAACUGAGACACGGUCCAGACUCCUACGGGAGGCAGCAGUGGGGAAUAUUGGACCAUGGGCGCAAGCCUGAUCCAGCCAUACCGCGUGGGUGAAGAAGGCCUUCGGGUUGUAAAGCCCUUUUGUUGGGAAAGAAAAGCAGCAGGUUAAUACCCCGCUGUUCUGACGGUACCCAAAGAAUAAGCACCGGCUAACUUCGUG